CCGCCCGGCUUAAAGUUAAAAUUUUAAUAAAAAAGAACACCCCAAGGGUAAAGGAACUCUCCAUAAAACCCAUGGAGGAGACUGUACACGUCCUCUUUGGAUCCUGUCUGGAGUCACAGAU